GACAGUAACAUACCACUGCACAAAGCAGGCUCACUGAGGGAACUGGAAAACUGUUCAGUUCUGUGGCUUUUACGGGCCAUGUAGACAGAGGAAGGGGGCUAAGAUGUGUAAGGGAAUCAAAACCAUUUCAUUUCUCUUUGUGCUUACUGGCCAGCCGUGUCUCCUCUUCUGUGACUGCUCCUGUACUCUGCCCAUUUAUCUCGUGAGUUGGUUUAUCUUUUUCUCAUUGAUAAACUGAACUUUUAAAGACCUGCAUAUUAGUUCUAUUUCCUGGGGAGAUGUUUGUGGUUUUUUUUUGUUUUGUUUUGUUUUGUUUUGUUUUGUUUUGCUAUGGUUAUGGGGUGUUACUGUUGAGCUUUCACUUUAAUAUAGUUUUUUUUUUCUUUGUGGUUUUUACUUUCUGUGUCUUCAAAUGACUUCUGAUGAGAAAGUACUGGUAAACAGACCUAUUUGUCUGGACAAGAUUUAUGUGUGUAGCAGAGCAGGGUAGACAUAAUAGUCAUUUUAGUAUCUUCAAUUAUUUGAAGACUAUAAAGUCCAAUAGACAAGCCUAUAUAGCUUCCAGAAGAACAGCAAAAAAUGGAUGGAGGCUAGAAAGGAGUAGCUCACCACACUGUGAAGAACCCUCUUACCCACUGGAGCUGCCCACAGUGAAAUGGGAUGGUCAGUAGCAGGCAACCGGGAGGAGGCUGUGCAAAUCCUCAUCAACAACACAGCUUUCACCUAUCACAUAGUGAGACUCUAAACUCUGGAAACCCAUGUCUUACUCUGCUUCUUCUCUCUUAGGACUUCCUGGGGACAUUCUGCUUCCCCUAAUUUCUAGAGCAAGUUCUGGCGGAGGUGGAGGAAACGCACUGCUGAUUUUAAUUUUAGAAAAAAUUUAACUAUGAUUAAGACUCAGAAAAUGACAACGAUGGCCUAAAAUGUUUUUGUGUAUUCUACUUGCCUUGGUCACUUGACUUCUGCAAUUUUUAAAAUAAGUGUUUGGGUCCAAAGAAAAUAGCCUUAUAUUUGUUUCAGUUGCUACAAUUAUAUGACCUCUUGUCUCUUUCAGCACAUGAUUUGAAGAACAGCAGAGAUCUUAGAACGAUCUACUUCAGUGAUUCUCAAGAGAAAAGAAACACUCUCCCCUGGGAGUGCACAGAAAAAUUACCUCAGGGACUUUUUUUUUUUUUUUUUUUUUUUUGAGACAGAGUCUCGCUCUGUCGCCCAGGCUGGAGUACAGUGGUGCGAUCUUGUCUCACUGCAAGCUCCACCUCCCGGGUUCACACCAUUCUCCUGCCUCAGCCUCCCGAGUAGCUGGGGCUACAAGCGCCCACCACCAUGCCCGGCUAAUUUUUUGUAUUUUUAGUACAGACGGGGUUUCACCGUGUUAGCCAGGACGGUCUCGAUCUCCUCACCUUGUGAUCCGUCCGCCUCGGCCUCCCAGGGAGCUGGGAUUACAGGCGUGAACCACCGCGUACGCCGCAUUCUUUUAUUUUUUUAUUUUUAUUUAUUUAUUUAUUUUGGGAUGGAGUCUCGCUCUGUCGCCCGGGCUGGAGUGCAGUGGUGCGAUCUCGGCUCACUGCAAGCUCCGCCUCCUGGGUUCAUGACAUUCUCCUGCCUCAGCCUCCCUAGUAGCUGGGACUACAGGCGCCCGCGACCACGCCCGGCUAAUUUUUUUGUAUUUUUUAGUAGAGACGGGGUUUCACCAUGUUAGCCAGGAUGGUCUCGAUCUCCUGACCUCGUGAUCCACCCACCUCGGCCUCCCAAAGUGCUGGGAUUACAGGCGUGAGCUCAGGGACUUUUUUAAAAGGACUUCCAAUGCCAUGCCCUUUCUCCCUCUCCUGGCCACUGAGAUGUAUUCCCAUAGGGACAGUCAAGACCCUAUGGAAACACUGCUAUGGAUGAGGGUCCUAAGGAACGGAAACAGCUGAGAAUCAUGGAUCUAAUGAAACUCCUUCAUUGUAGAGAUGAAGACACUGAAGCCUUGGAGGCUCACAUGACUUAACACCGACAACUGACUUAUUGUCGGGUCACCCUGCACACCCAGGCCUAGUGCCCCCUCCAUCCAGCCGCAUGGCUCUGCCUGACGGUUCUGUUUAUCCAAUGGGAAGGCAUUCAUGUCAAACAGCCUUUGUGUUAAAGCAGGAAGCUCUGUGCUGGAUGACAAGGUCAGGGUUUUUAAGGUCCCCAAACAAAAUACAACUUUCUACGAAAUAAUGUAAAAUCAGCAUUUGCCUUCAACUGCUCAAGGAACUGGGUGAUUGGCCAUGCCAGAUGGUAUGGCUCUCACUUGCCGCAACACCUACUGGAGGCUAACAGAGCAAGGCAACACAGAGAGGCUGAGCUUGGGAAACAAGCAAGUGAAGACACAAGAUCUG
rnacentral:lncRNA from 1 species